GCCAGCAUAGCUCAGCGGUAGAGCAGCGCAUUCGUAAUGCGCAGGUCAAGGGUUCAAAUCCCUUCGCUGGCUCCA
rnacentral:tRNA from 1 species